rnacentral:lncRNA from 10 species
GUGAAACUCACAUUGGGGAUUAGCGGAAGAUAAGAUUGGUUCUAGAAGGUAGGUUAUAACAAUUUGUAACUAAAAAGUACAGCUGGGGUAAAGAAAAAUCACUCAAAGUAGGUAGAGACAUACUAACAACAGUCAUUUAAAAUAAGUACUCUGGUAGUGAAAAGAAGUCAUAGUCUCUGCAGAGGACUCUAAAUAAAGGGACAAUGCGAGAGGAGCUGGCAAGUGCUUGGGCAGUACUUAGAAGGAAGACGCAUUCAUUAUCAUACUGAGGAUUCACUGAGACAUCUUCAGAAAAUGUCUGAAAGGGAGGGACUCUAUGGAGCAUGGAUGCAGAAAAGGAGUUAUUCCUACUGGAAAAAAAAAUGAACUGUGGACACAGUCACUCAAGAGCAGAGAAACAACCACUGAGAGUAAGUAGCCUUAAUUUCAUUGUCACCAGGGAGGCACACAGCAGAAAGCCUGGGACAAAUCUGGGCUAGAGCCCUUAACGGACUCAGGCUUCCAGGUGCUGUGGUACAACAGCCUUUGUGGGGAUGGGGGGAACCAGAAACCACCAUCAUCACGUGUAAAAAAAGGAUACCACAGCAACAACAUAGUUGUCAAAAAUCAGCUGGAACUGAGGUUACGCCCCGUUUGAAAUCCACACUGUACUUGUUCUCCUGUGAAGGGCUUGAGACGUGCAGAGACACGUUAAACAUGUGUAGGUGACCUUCUUUUGAAAGGCAGAGGAGGGCCUCUUCGGGAACUCUUUCUACUCAUCUGUUUUCCUAUCAGUUCACCAUUUCAACUAGAAAAGAGGCUGCAAGUGCUACCUCAGCUAGCUUCUAAUUUGGACACAGCACCAAUACUACACACACAAUUGACUGAAUGACCACAUCUUCCUGGUUCUUCCAUUGGGCAGGGUUAAUAUGCUUCUUUGGACUGAAUAGAUGUGAUCAUGUUCGAG